ensembl:lncRNA
CCUCUACAGUAGUGUACUGUAUCUUACCUACAGCAACUACUGUCUCUACAGUAGUGUACUGUAUCUCAUCUACAGUAACUACUGUAUCUACAGGACACUAUCUCACCUACUGUAACUACUGUCUCUUCAGUAGUGUACUGUAUCUCACCUAACUACUGUCUCUACAGUAGUGUACUGUAUCUCACCUAACUACUGUCUCUACAGUAGUGUAAUGUAUCCCACCUACAUACACUACUGUCUCUAGAGCAGUGUACUGUAUCUAAACUACAGGAACUAUUUUCUCUACAGUAGUGUACUGUAUCUCACCUACAGCAACUACUGUAAACAGGACACUAUCUCACCUACAGUAGCUACUGUCUCUACAGGACACUAUCUCACCUACAGUAACUACUUUAUCUCACCAACAGUAACGACUGUAUCUCACCUACAGUAACUAGUGUCAACAGGACACUAUCUCACCUACAGUAACUAGUGUCAGCAGGACACUAUCUCACUAUCUCUAAUAAAGGGGUUCACAUAUCGUCCCAAUACUCUUCCAUCUUGGAAUUUUAAUUUGCUUGAAAGACAAAUGAGUUGAGCCUUGUCCCCGAAGUGAAUACUAGAAGGAUUCUGUUUUGUAGUCGGAUGGAAUCUCUUUUAGUUAGCAGAGGUAAUCAUUUGAUUGAAAGCAAUUAUGUACCCAAUUAUACAUCUCAUCCAUCUUGUGAUCUGUGUACAUCUGUGAGAUUAAGCCAGAUUGAGAGAUUUUUUAUAUAUUCAGGCAUUUUUGUCUUUGGAUUAGUAUGGUUGGUGCAGCUUUGAAUCAGAAAAUGUUUCACAUUUACUAGAAAGCUAACAUGAAACAUGAAUAUUGAACUCGCUUAUUAAACCCUGCCAGAACAUGAGUGGCUACCUCAAUAGUUGUGUUUAUGGUAGCCCAAUACAGUAACAAUACAGGGUCAGCUUAGCUUAGGAGUCAGAGCAGUUGUCUUGUAUCCAAAAGGUUGCUAGUUCGAUCCCCAGCUCCUACUAGCUGAGUGUCCCUGAGCAAGACACUUAACCCUCCUGACGAGCUGGCUGUCGCUUUGCAUGGUUGACUCAACCGUCGGUGUGCAAUGUGUGUAUUAAGCGAUGUAAGUCGCUUUGGAUGAAAGUGUCUGCUAAAUGCCCUAAUUGCAGUUACAGACCCAUACUUCGAGGUAUGAAUUCUCAGUGGAUAUAUACAAUUUAAGACUUUAAUGUGUCAUACUUAAGUUUGCUUUUCUGUUGCAAUGUCCUGUAGGCCUACUGUAAUAUAACAAAUUUGCUAACUAGCUUAUUGUUUUUUUUUGUUUUUUACUUUUACCUCAAUGUAGCCAGCAUUUAAUCAAAGUUCCAUAAUUCGUUUAAGAGGAAAAAAACACAAUUGUGCCCUCUUAACAUGUCAAUAGUAGUACGUGAGAAUCAUGUGCCCAAACCGGUAUCGGAACAAGAGGGGGGAACGUCGUCCUCUAGUGGAGCGUUAUGAACGUUGUCCUCUAGGGAGAGUUAUGAGCGUCGCCCUCUAUUGGAGAGUUAAGAGCACUGCUAGAUCAACCCCACCUCUAUAGUACAUCCAGCCUCCCCUAACCAUUAUGUCAAUAUCGUUUACGGCUUCUUUUGAUUUUCAAUGAAUCAAAUGUAUUUUACACAUAGAAUAGGCCAAUGUUUUUGAUAUUUCAUGAUUUUUUUAAAUUAUUUUAUAGCUAAGUGUGAGAGUCAUAGUCAGCUUGGAUUGUAUUAGCCAACAAUUCAAAAGAAAAAAUACUUGAAUAUUAUAAUUAACGAACAAAACACCCUGAUAUGACAUGAUUGGGUCGUGAAAUGUUUGGGUUUGCAGUUUUCAUUGUAUUUAAAUAGUAUGUUUAAAUAGCUGUAAUAACUGUAACUAAAAUAUAACUAAAAUGCUGUUGUCGAUAUGGUCAUGCUCUUUCAAUAAAGGUUUUUAAUUAGGCCUAAUUUGACUCAAUCAGAGCUCCCCCCCACGCACGGUGUGGGCCUUGAAUGACCUUCACAUGCUCUCACACGCUAUUACGCAAACCUUUUCAGUAAUAUCCCC